rnacentral:tRNA from 2 species
GACUGCGUAGUUCAACGGAUAGAAUAGGAGUUUCCUAAACUCUAGAUAUGGGUUCGAUUCCCGUCGCGGUCACAA